UAAUAAAACACAACUUCACGCUUUCCUUUCACUUUCCUAAAUCAGAACUCAUGCUUUCCCUUUCACAAUUUCACGCUUUCCUUUCACCAAGCUUCAAAUUUGCUGAAGAUCAAGCUGAAAAAUUUGCUGAAGAACUCACCAAGACCAAUUUGCUGAAGAUUCCGUCAAGAAGGAAUUUAUUGGGGUUGUUGGCAAGAUGACUGAAGUUAAGUCUCUCUGUCACACUUUUCUCUCAAAUUUUAGACAGAUUUAUGGCUGAAGAGGUAAAGAGCUAAAGAUAAUCUCCCUAAAGAAUACGAUUUCCAUAAUAGUUCUUGCUGAAGAACCCGAUUUUGUUGGAAUAGGGUUUACCGGUUUGAAAGGGAUCCUGCAAUAAUAUGAAACUGGCGUAGAAGCAGAAAAAGAGAUCUUUUCAAAAUUGGAGUUGCAAAGGGAAAUGGAGGUGAACAAAUUUUAAGUGGAUGAUGAAGAGUUUUGAGCUAUUCUAAAAGUUUGAAUACAUUGUAUUUGAUUUUGUGAAAUAUAUUCACUGGUGGAAUAUAUUGAACUAUUGUAAGUGUACUUUUUGAACUAUUGUGUACACAUUUAGAAUAUUGCUUUAUAAGUUUGUGUAUGUACACAACACAUUAUGUUUUGACGUUUAUGGAAAAUCUAUAAAUUUGUAAGAGUACUUAAUGUUUGA